UUCAUUGGAAAUGAUGAUCAUUCUUUUUUCCCCAUCUUAUCGACAAUGGUGAAAAACAUAGCUGAUAUAUAAGCCAGAUGAUCUGAUCCAAAAAU